rnacentral:rRNA from 1 species
GACGAACGCUGGCGGCGUGCCUAAUACAUGCAAGUAGAACGCUGAAGGAGGAGCUUGCUUCUCCGGAUGAGUUGCGAACGGGUGAGUAACGCGUAGGUAACCUGCCUGGUAGCGGGGGAUAACUAUUGGAAACGAUAGCUAAUACCGCAUAAGAGUAGAUGUUGCAUGACAUUUGCUUAAAAGGUGCAAUUGCAUCACUACCAGAUGGACCUGCGUUGUAUUAGCUAGUUGGUGGGGUAACGGCUCACCAAGGCGACGAUACAUAGCCGACCUGAGAGGGGGAUCGGCCACACUGGGACUGAGACACGGCCCAGACUCCUACGGGAGGCAGCAGUAGGGAAUCUUCGGCAAGGGACGGAAGUCUGACCGAGCAACGCCGCGUGAGUGAAGAAGGUUUUCGGAUCGUAAAGCUCUGUUGUAAGAGAAGAACGAGUGUGAGAGUGGAAAGUUCACACUGUGACGGUAUCUUACCAGAAAGGGACGGCUAACUACGUG